UGUGAGGCGCUAUUGAUUCGCCAUUCACGUCAGAACACCGUAUAUAAAGUCACCAGAGACUUUCACCAAGUCCUUUGGCGUGGUCACUCUACAAGUGGCUUUUGUGUUGGAACUAUUGAAAUAAUGUCACUUAAAACAACUGUGUGGUGCCUUUGCUUUGCUGUAGUGAUAUGUAUGAAUAUGGUAGCAAGCAGAUCUCUCUUUGAUUCGGGACCCAGAGCAGACUUAGAAGAUUCAAGCCUUGAAGACGGAAUGGUAAAACGUCAGAUGGACAGCCAAGAAAUGGCAUUUUUGCAGUAUUGUUUGACCAGAGGGAGAUUCGACUUAAGAUGCCGCCAACCAAAAGGAUACACUAUAACUGUUGUGAGACAGUAGACAUAUACCUUGUUAACAUGUCUUUUAGGACUGUGUACAUUCGUUAUCAAAAUAUGAUAUCAAAUCUAUGUGCAUUGUUCACAUAUUAUGUGCUUUGUUAAGAAAAACAUGAAGUUUUCCUGCUGUAAAAUACGAAAACACGUACACUAUACACUCUUAGACGAUUUCGCAACUUUCAAACACAGAACGCACAGAACACACAUUUUGUCCAUUUUUUUUUCAAAUAUCAUGUCUCAAUUUGGUAAUAAAAGAUUGACUGAGAUAAA